GAAGUGGUAGCUCAGUGUUUAAGAUGUUGGACUGCUAUAUCAGAAGGUCUUGAGUUCAAAUCCCAGCACUGCC